UACGGAGGAUCCAAGCGUUAUCCGGAUUUAUUGGGUUUAAAGGGUGCGUAGGCGGCCUAUUAAGUCAGGGGUGAAAGACGGUAGCUUAACUAUCGCAGUGCCUUUGAUACUGAUGGGCUUGAAUGUACUUGAGGUAGGCGGAAUGUGACAAGUAGCGGUGAAAUGCAUAGAUAUGUCACAGAACACCAAUUGCGAAGGCAGCUUACUAAAGUAUGAUUGACGCUGAGGCACGAAAAGCGUGGGGGAUCAAACAGG
rnacentral:rRNA from 1 species